AUUGAACGCUGGCGGCAUGCCUUACACAUGCAAGUCGAACGGGGGUAGCAAUACCCUAGUGGCGGACGGGUGAGUAAUGUAUCGGAACGUGCCCUUGAGUGGGGGAUAACCAGUCGAAAGAUUGGCUAAUACCGCAUACGAUCUACGGAUGAAAGUGGGGGACCUUAGGGCCUCAUGCCCGUGGAGCGGCCGAUAUCUGAUUAGCUAGUUGGUGGGGUAAAGGCCUACCAAGGCGACGAUCAGUAGCUGGUCUGAGAGGGCGAUCAGCCACACUGGGACUGAGACACGGCCCAGACUCCUACGGGAGGCAGCAGUGGGGAAUUUUGGACAAUGGGGGAAACCCUGAUCCAGCGAUGCCGCGUGAGUGAAGAAGGCCUUCGGGUUGUAAAGCUCUUUUGUCAGGGAAGAAGAUGCUAUGGCUAAUAUCCAUGGUUGAUGACGGUACCUGAAGAAUAAGCACCGGCUAACUACGUGCCAGCCGCCGCCGUAA
rnacentral:rRNA from 1 species